rnacentral:rRNA from 1 species
AGUGUCAGUUCAUGCCAAAUUAAGGUGAAACCGCGAAAGGCUCAUUAAAUCAGUUAUAGUUUACUUGAUGGCAUGACGUUAUCGUUACUUGGAUAACUGUGGCAAUUCUAGAGCUAAUACAUGCACUCGAGUCCCGACCGUUCGCAGCGGAAGGGAUGCUUUUAUUAGAUCAAAACCAAUCGGGAAAUCGCCGAGCUUCGCGCCCGGUCGACGUACCGUCAAGUCUUGGUGACUCUGGAUAAAUUGUCGCUGAUCGCAAGGUCCAAGCACCUGCGACGCAUCUUUCAAAUGUCUGACUUAUCAACUAUCGACGGUAUGCCACGUGCCUACCGUGGUGGUAACGGGUAACGGGGAAUCAGGGUUCGAUUCCGGAGAGGGAGCCUGAGAAACAGCUACCACAUCCAAGGAAGGCAGCAGGCGCGCAAAUUACCCACUCCCGGCACGGGGAGGUAGUGACGAAAAAUAACGAUGCAGAACUCUUUUACGAGGCUCUGCAAUCGGAAUGAGAAGACCCUAAAUCAUUUACCGAGUAUCCAUUGGAGGGCAAGUCUGGUGCCAGCAGCCGCGGUAAUUCCAGCUCCAAUAGCGUAUAUUAAAGUUGUUGCGGUUAAAAAGCUCGUAGUUGGACCUGUGUUUUCGCGCUGUCGGUUCACCGCCCGUCGGUGCAUAACUGGCAGUCCGCGGAACGUCCUGCCGGUUGGCGUAUCCUCGGUCGCGGACGCGCUUCGCUCGCCGUUCCGCGUCUUGCUUCCCCCGUCAAUUCAAACGUUUCGCGCGGAUCGUCGUCGCGCUUCGCGCGCGGCGAUCGAUUCCGCGCGUCUCGGACGCGCGGGAAAGCGGCGGCGGCGGCCGCGAAGCGGCGGAUCCCGCGGCUAACGGGGGCCAAAAAUUCGCCCGGCCCGAAAACCGGCGCGAAUCCCCGUCGCGAUGCUCUUUGCCGAGUGUCGAGGCGGGCCGGCACGUUUACUUUGAACAAAUUUGAGUGCUCAAAGCAGGCACGUGAAACGGCUUGAAAAUUGUGCGCAUGGAAUAAUGGAAUAGGACCGCGGUUCUAUUUUGUUGGUUUACGGAAUUUCUGCGGUAAUGAUUAAUAGGGUCGGACGGGGGCAUUGGUAUUGCGACGUUAGAGGUGAAAUUCUUGGAUCGUCGCAGGACUAACGAAAGCGAAAGCAUUUGCCAAGAACGCUUUCAUUGAUCAAGAACGAAAGUUAGAGGUUCGAAGGCGAUCAGAUACCGCCCUAGUUCUGACCGUAAACGAUGCCAGCUGGCGAUCCGUCGUUGUUUCUAUGGAUGACUCGACGGGCAGCCUCCGGGAAACCAAAGCGUUUGGGUUCCGGGGGUAGUAUGGUUGCAAAGCUGAAACUUAAAGGAAUUGACGGAAGGGCACCACCAGGAGUGGAGCUUGCGGCUUAAUUUGACUCAACACGGGAAAACUCACCAGGCCCAGACACUGAGAGGAUUGACGGAUUGACAGCUCUUUCUUGAUUCAGUGGGUGGUGGUGCAUGGCCGUUCUUAGUUGGUGGAGCGAUUUGUCUGGUUUAUUCCGAUAACGAACGAGACUCUAGCCUGCUAAAUAGGCGUAAAAAUUCGAUUCGUCAGAAUCGAAGUCCGAUAUCUAGCCUAUCGGCGAUUGGAAUUAACUCUUCUUAGAGGGACAAGCGGCAUCUAGCCGCGCGAGAUUGAGCAAUAACAGGUCUGUGAUGCCCUUAGAUGUUCUGGGCCGCACGCGUGCUACACUGAAGGAAUCAACGUGUUCGAAAACCCUUGGCCGAAAGGUCCGGGCAACCCGUUGAACCUCCUUCGUGCUAGGGAUUGGGGAUUGCAAUUGUUUCCCAUGAACGAGGAAUUCCCAGUAAGCGCGAGUCAUAAGCUCGCGUUGAUUACGUCCCUGCCCUUUGUACACACCGCCCGUCGCUACUACCGAUUGAACGAUUUAGUGAGGUCUUCGGACCUGCACGCGGGCGUCCUCGGAUCGCUCCGGUUUCGCGCCGGAACUGGUUCGGGAUUGCCCGCAGUUGCGAGGAAGACGAUCGAACUUGAUCGUUUAGAGGAAGUAAAAGUCGUAACAAGGUU